rnacentral:rRNA from 1 species
GUAGGGAAUAUUGGACAAUGGGGGCAACCCUGAUCCAGCGACGCCGCGUGAGUGAUGAAGGCCUUCGGGUCGUAAAGCUCUGUUGCAGGGGAAGAACACAAUGACGGUACCCUGCUAGAAAGGAUCGGCUAACUUCGUGCCAGCAGCCGCGGUAAGACGAGGGAUCCUAGCGUUGUUCGGAAUUAUUGGGCGUAAAGCGGGUGCAGGUGGCUUGGUAAGUCAGAUGUGAAAGCCUGGGGCUUAACCCCAGAAGUGCAUUUGAUACUGCUGAGCUUGAGUGCUGGAGAGGCUAUUAGAAUUCCUGGUGUAGUGGUGAAAUACGUGGAUAUCAGGAGGAAUACCGGAGGCGAAGGCGGAUAGCUGGCCAGACACUGACACUCAGACCCGAAAGCGUGGGGAUCAAACAGGAUUAGAAACCCGAGUAGUCC